rnacentral:rRNA from 1 species
AGUGGGAGCCUCUUUUAUGGGGUGACUGCGUACCUUUUGUAUAAUGGGUCAGCGACUUAUAUUCUGUAGCAAGGUUAACCGAAUAGGGGAGCCGAAGGGAAACCGAGUCUUAACCGGGCGUUAAGUUGCAGGGUAUAGACCCGAAACCCGGUGAUCUAGCCAUGGGCAGGUUGAAGGUUGGGUAACACUAACUGGAGGACCGAACCGACUAAUGUUGAAAAAUUAGCGGAUGACUUGUGGCUGGGGGUGAAAGGCCAAUCAAACCGGGAGAUAGCUGGUUCUCCCCGAAAGCUAUUUAGGUAGCGCCUCGUGAAUUCAUCUCCGGGGGUAGAGCACUGUUUCGGCAAGGGGGUCAUCCCGACUUACCAACCCGAUGCAAACUGCGAAUACCGGAGAAUGUUAUCACGGGAGACACACGGCGGGUGCUAACGUCCGUCGUGAAGAGGGAAACAACCCAGACCGCCAGCUAAGGUCCCAAAGUCAUGGUUAAGUGGGAAACGAUGUGGGAAGGCCCAGACAGCCAGGAUGUUGGCUUAGAAGCAGCCAUCAUUUAAAGAAAGCGUAAUAGCUCACUGGUCGAGUCGGCCUGCGCGGAAGAUGUAACGGGGCUAAACCAUGCACCGAAGCUGCGGCAGCGACACUGUGUGUUGUUGGGUAGGGGAGCGUUCUGUAAGCCUGUGAAGGUGUGCUGUGAGGCAUGCUGGAGGUAUCAGAAGUGCGAAUGCUGACAUAAGUAACGAUAAAGCGGGUGAAAAGCCCGCUCGCCGGAAGACCAAGGGUUCCUGUCCAACGUUAAUCGGGGCAGGGUGAGUCGACCCCUAAGGCGAGGCCGAAAGGCGUAGUCGAUGGGAAACAGGUUAAUAUUCCUGUACUUGGUGUUACUGCGAAGGGGGGACGGAGAAGGCUAUGUUGGCCGGGCGACGGUUGUCCCGGUUUAAGCGUGUAGGCUGGUUUUCCAGGCAAAUCCGGAAAAUCAAGGCUGAGGCGUGAUGACGAGGCACUACGGUGCUGAAGCAACAAAUGCCCUGCUUCCAGGAAAAGCCUCUAAGCAUCAGGUAACAUCAAAUCGUACCCCAAACCGACACAGGUGGUCAGGUAGAGAAUACCAAGGCGCUUGAGAGAACUCGGGUGAAGGAACUAGGCAAAAUGGUGCCGUAACUUCGGGAGAAGGCACGCUGAUAUGUAGGUGAAGUCCCUCGCGGAUGGAGCUGAAAUCAGUCGAAGAUACCAGCUGGCUGCAACUGUUUAUUAAAAACACAGCACUGUGCAAACACGAAAGUGGACGUAUACGGUGUGACGCCUGCCCGGUGCCGGAAGGUUAAUUGAUGGGGUCAGCGCAAGCGAAGCUCUUGAUCGAAGCCCCGGUAAACGGCGGCCGUAACUAUAACGGUCCUAAGGUAGCGAAAUUCCUUGUCGGGUAAGUUCCGACCUGCACGAAUGGCGUAAUGAUGGCCAGGCUGUCUCCACCCGAGACUCAGUGAAAUUGAACUCGCUGUGAAGAUGCAGUGUACCCGCGGCAAGACGGAAAGACCCCGUGAACCUUUACUAUAGCUUGACACUGAACAUUGAGCCUUGAUGUGUAGGAUAGGUGGGAGGCUUUGAAGUGUGGACGCCAGUCUGCAUGGAGCCGACCUUGAAAUACCACCCUUUAAUGUUUGAUGUUCUAACGUGGACCCGUGAUCCGGGUUGCGGACAGUGUCUGGUGGGUAGUUUGACUGGGGCGGUCUCCUCCUAAAGAGUAACGGAGGAGCACGAAGGUUGGCUAAUCCUGGUCGGACAUCAGGAGGUUAGUGCAAUGGCAUAAGCCAGCUUGACUGCGAGCGUGACGGCGCGAGCAGGUGCGAAAGCAGGUCAUAGUGAUCCGGUGGUUCUGAAUGGAAGGGCCAUCGCUCAACGGAUAAAAGGUACUCCGGGGAUAACAGGCUGAUACCGCCCAAGAGUUCAUAUCGACGGCGGUGUUUGGCACCUCGAUGUCGGCUCAUCACAUCCUGGGGCUGAAGUAGGUCCCAAGGGUAUGGCUGUUCGCCAUUUAAAGUGGUACGCGAGCUGGGUUUAGAACGUCGUGAGACAGUUCGGUCCCUAUCUGCCGUGGGCGCUGGAGAACUGAGGGGGGCUGCUCCUAGUACGAGAGGACCGGAGUGGACGCAUCACUGGUGUUCGGGUUGUCAUGCCAAUGGCACUGCCCGGUAGCUAAAUGCGGAAGAGAUAAGUGCUGAAAGCAUCUAAGCACGAAACUUGCCCCGAGAUGAGUUCUCCCUGACCCUUUAAGGGUCCUGAAGGAACGUUGAAGACGACGACGUUGAUAGGCCGGGUGUGUAAGCGCAGCGAUGCGUUGAGCUAACCGGUACUAAUGAACCGUGAGGCUUAACCUU